rnacentral:rRNA from 1 species
GAGUGAAACUCAAAGGAAUUGACGGGGACCCGCACAAGUAGCGGAGCAUGUGGUUUAAUUCGAAGCAACGCGAAGAACCUUACCUAAGCUUGACAUCCCAAUGACAUCUCCUUAAUCGGAGAGUUCCCUUCGGGGACAUGGGUGACAGGUGGUGCAUGGUUGUCGUCAGCUCGUGUCGUGAGAUGUUGGGUUAAGUCCCGCAACGAGCGCAACCCUUGUCUUUAGUUGCCAUCAUUAAGUUGGGCACUCUAGAGAGACUGCCAGGGAUAACCUGGAGGAAGGUGGGGAUGACGUCAAAUCAUCAUGCCCC